AGCAGAACGAUGCGUCUACGAGCCAGAGAACACUAGGAACCGCUGGCAGCAACAGAAGCAGGGAGGGAGGAAGGAACGGAUUCUCCUCCUGACUUCCCAAGAAGGGACCAGCUUUGCGGACUCCUUGAUUUUGGACUUUUGGCCUCCAGAACCACGAGAGUCUCCAGAGAGACAUACAGACGCCCGCUGUCCCCACGGAAGGACAUGGCCUUUCUUCUUCCAUCUUGCUGUCAGAAAGUUGGACAUGUUGGCUGGAGCUCAGGCAGCCACCUGGGACCAUAAAAUGAAGGGCCACAUUGCAGGGAGGCAGGAAGAGACUAGACCCCUGUCAACUUCAUAGAAGCACCGUCCCAGCUCCAAGGCCCACUCUUUUAUGCUGGAGGAGCAAAUCUUGUCUGUUUAAGCCACGUUUCAUUGCUUUUCGGGUUUUUUUCUUCCCAUGAAGUGGAACCUAAUCGCUAUGGAGACGUCUUCUCUCUCUUUAAAUGACUUCAGACCUCAGCGAGAGUCCAUUUGAGAUAUUUUCCCAACCACGUGAUCUUAGGAAACAAGUAGCAUUUCUCUCCCUGCAUCCUCCCAAAGUUCUGGUGUUAAGUGUUUGGUGGCGGGUCCUCCAGACGCUGAUUCAUGGCUCCCAACAAGAAUGUUCCAUUCCAACUCCUUAAAAAACAGCCAGACCAACUCGAUGGCAUUUUGGUACUUUUCCACUUUGCUGGAGUUACGAUUUAUGCCUAAUUCAUCAAGAUAAGGCAAAGAACAACAUUGGUGUUUGUGGCUGUUGGGUCUGUACAUGAGGCUGCUAUGGUUUCAGCAGCACACGGUAGAAUUAAAUACAUAUAAUGAGUAUAAUGUGAUUUACUCUCG
rnacentral:lncRNA from 10 species